CCCGUUGGAGAGCUGGUUGGAGUUCCAGUCCUGGUGCACCACGAGCUUGGAGACCUUGACGGCCAGCGAACCGGGUUCAUUGGUGGAGAGGCUGUGCCGGCCCAGCACCACGCGCUCAUGGAACUUGUGCUGCAGGUGGCGAGAAGAGACCACUCCUGGCAGAGGGACCCGGAGGAAACUCCAGCUGCUCUGAGAUAAGCAGAGGUGAUGGUAUUGAGGCUUGGAGAAAUCAUUCAAGUAACCUGGGGGAUCCCAGUUCCAGAUCUGGAGGCCACAUCUAGUUCCCCCAAGAGGGCAGGAAGUGGGCCUCCUCCUUCCCUACAGCCCCCCGCCCACACACACACCCUGCCGAGGACACUCCUUCCAUGUCACGUAUGGGUCCAUCAACUGACCAACGGACUGAAUACAGAUUGACAAAAGCUUGUUUCUUGGCUGAGGAAGUGGUUGGGUGCCAGACUCCUUUAUACAGGGUGGUUCAGGCCAUCAGAGAUGAGCGCUGGCUAGUGGGGUGAGCGGGCUGGGAGACUGGGGAAUAGCACUUACCUGAUGC